rnacentral:rRNA from 1 species
UCUACGGGAGGCAGCAGUGGGGAAUAUUGCACAAUGGGGGAAACCCUGAUGCAGCGACGCCGCGUGAGCGAUGAAGUAUUUCGGUAUGGAAAGCUCUAUCAGCAGGGUAGAAAAUGAUGGUACCUGACUAAGAAGCCACGGCUCACUACGUGACAGCAGCCGCGGCAAUACGUAGGUGGCAAGCGUUAUCCGGAUGUACGGGGUGUAAAGGGGGCGUAGAGGGCGAUGCAAGCGAGCGGUGAAAGCACGGGGCUCAACCCCGGGACUGCAGGUGAAACUGUGUGGCUGGAGUGUCUGAGAGGCAGGCGGAAUUCCUAGUGUAGCGGUGAAAUGCGUAGAUAUUAGGAGGAACACCAGUGGCGAAGGCGGCCUGCUGGACGAUGACUGACGCUGAGGCUCGAAAGCGUGGGGAGCAAACAGGAUUAGAUACCCCUGUAGUC